rnacentral:rRNA from 1 species
UAGGGAAUCGUCCGCAAUGGGCGAAAGCCUGACGGAGCAACGCCGCGUGAGUGAUGAAGGUCUUCGGAUCGUAAAACUCUGUUAUUAGGGAAGAACAAAUGUGUAAGUAACUAUGCACGUCUUGACGGUACCUAAUCAGAAAGCCACGGCUAACUACGUGCCAGCAGCCGCGGUAAUACGUAGGUGGCAAGCGUUAUCCGGAAUUAUUGGGCGUAAAGCGCGCGUAGGCGGUUUUUUAAGUCUGAUGUGAAAGCCCACGGCUCAACCGUGGAGGGUCAUUGGAAACUGGAAAACUUGAGUGCAGAAGAGGAAAGUGGAAUUCCAUGUGUAGCGGUGAAAUGCGCAGAGAUAUGGAGGAACACCAGUGGCGAAGGCGACUUUCUGGUCUGUAACUGACGCUGAUGUGGGAAAGCGUGGGGAUCAAACAGG